GAACGCUGGCGGCGUGCCUAACACAUGCAAGUCGAGCGGGGAUAAAUGAGAAGGCAACUUUAAAGAUAUCCCAGCGGCGGACGGGUGAGUAACACGUGGGCAACCUGCCUUUUUACAGGGGGAUAACACUGGGAAACUAGUGCUAAUACCGCAUAACACAUAUAGUAGGCAUCUACUGUAUGUCAAAGGAAUAAAAUCCGGUAAGAGAUGGGCCCGCGUCCGAUUAGCUAGUUGGUGGGGUAAAGGCUCACCAAGGCGACGAUCGGUAGCCGGACUGAGAGGUUGAACGGCCACAUUGGGACUGAGACACCGGCCCAGACUCCGUACGGGAGGCAGCAGGUGGGGAAUAUUGCCGCAAGUGGGGAAACCCUGACGCAGCGACGCCGCGUGAAGGAAGUAAGGUUUCGGAUUAGUAAACUUCUUUGGCCGGGACGAAAAAAUGACGGUACCCGGUUAACAAGCCACGGCUAACUACGUGCCAGCCGCAGC
rnacentral:rRNA from 1 species